rnacentral:miRNA from 1 species
AUAUAUAUGUAUAUAUGUGUAUGUGUGUGUGUGUGUGUGUAUAUAUAUAUAUACACACACAUAUACAUAUAUG